ensembl:snRNA U1 U1 spliceosomal RNA
AUACUUACCUGGCAGGGGAAAAACCAUGAUCACAAAGCUGGUUUUCCCAGGGUGAGGUUUAUCCAUUACUCUGGAUGUCCUGACCUCUGCAAUUUCCUCAAAUGUGGGAAGCUUGACUGCAUAAUUUGUAGUAGUGGGGGACUGCAUUCACACUUUACCCUG